UUGGUCCAGCAUCAUAUAAAAGCGGCAGCCUGUCACCUGCUCUGUCUUGCGCUCCCUCAUUGCGUCAUUUCCGGACCGGAUAAUUGUUUGCCCCUUCAGAGCGGCAACGGUGGGCUGUGUUUGCGGUUGCAUUUAGCGUCUUCUGUAUUGGUGAAUGCCGGUAGCCGUGCGGGUCUCGUCUCUCCCUCACUCUCCUUAAGCCUGUGUGAACUCUAUAAAGUUGCUGCAGGCCGGUGGUGGUGCUGGUGACUCGGGUGGUGGUGUCCCUUCCUUCUGUGUGCCGUGUCCUGGGAUUUUUGGGUGAUUUCACAUUGUGUGUGUGCUUGCCACGUGUGUUGAGUGUCUGAUUAUUUUCACCUCAAUAUUAUUUUGUAUUUGGUAGACUCCCCACUCCUCUCACUAGCUCCUGCCCACACCCAUAGGCCUCAGCUCCUGUCUCA